CUCGUACUCCCUCCGCCUGGAAAUACUUGUCAUCAAAAGGGGAUGUAUCUAGACGUAUUUUAGUUUUAAAUACAUCCAUUUUUAUCCAUUUUGAUGACAAGUAUUUCCGAACGGAGGGAGUACCUG
rfam:Triticum aestivum genome assembly, contig: Triticum_aestivum_CS42_TGACv1_scaffold_000958_1AL